AUUGAACGCUGGCGGCAUGCCUUACACAUGCAAGUCGAACGGCAGCACGGGAGCUUGCUCCUGGUGGCGAGUGGCGAACGGGUGAGUAAUGCAUCGGAACGUACCCGGAAGUGGGGGAUAACGUAGCGAAAGUUACGCUAAUACCGCAUAUUCUGUGAGCAGGAAAGAGGGGGAUCGCAAGACCUCUCGCUUUCGGAGCGGCCGAUGUCGGAUUAGCUAGUUGGUGGGGUAAAGGCCUACCAAGGCGACGAUCCGUAGCGGGUCUGAGAGGAUGAUCCGCCACACUGGAACUGAGACACGGUCCAGACUCCUACGGGAGGCAGCAGUGGGGAAUUUUGGACAAUGGGCGAAAGCCUGAUCCAGCCAUGCCGCGUGAGUGAAGAAGGCCUUCGGGUUGUAAAGCUCUUUCGGCUGAAAAGAAAUCGCACAGGCUAAUACCCUGUGUGGAUGACGGUAUCAGCAUAAGAAGCACCGGCUAACUACGUGCCAGCAGCCGCGGUAA
rnacentral:rRNA from 1 species